AAAUAAUAGACUUUAGAUGGAAAACAUUAAAGCAAUCACAGAAAGUGAAGCGGAGACGUCGCUUCAGGAAACUCCACAGUGCUUCAUGGGCAAAACUCUUCCUUAUGAACAGGAAGUCAAUGAGGCCUGAAACUCACUCAAGGAACCUAAUCAACAGUGAGGUGAUGAUGGUGAAGAUGAUGAUGUCAAGAAUGGAGCUUUUUCUUCCCCUAACAGAAGGUCCUGAAGAGUGAGAGCAGCGCUGACGUGCUUUAAUGGCCGUGAGUGAAGAGUUGCAGACUUUUUGGCCAUUGAAGCUCUUGAAACCACCUCCUCUAUAUUCCAUAUAGCAAUAAAAUAAAUAAAAAAAAUAAGUUAGUCUUUGUUUGUGUGUGUGUGUGUGUGUGUGUGUGUGUGUGUGUGUGUGUGUGUGUGUGUGUGUGUGUGUUUAUGGGAGUCUCAAACAGUCUCAAAAUCUGGAGAGUUGCCCAGAAUAUUUGAAACAAUUUUCUACAAUAUAUCGUGAUACAAUGUGAAAGUCCGUCAUAAUAUUGUCACAAAUAUCGAACU